rnacentral:lncRNA from 1 species
CCCAUCUCACUAUCAUGUUCAAAUUAGGGCAAGAAUUAUCAUAAAAACUGUAACUCAGCAUUCCGUUAUCAGCUGGUCUACUCGGAUAAUAGAUAUAAUCAGGUCUGCCAUUAAUGGCUGAAAAAAAGCAGAUUAUGCAAAAAAAAGCAGAAGGGCACAAGAACUUAUAAUCCAUUUUCAGAAAGAAAUGCAUUUUUGUGAUGAUUUUGGAGGAGGAUAUGCUGCAAUUUAUAUGCAAGAACAAGGGAACACCGAAUAGAUUUCAUUGGUGGGUUCUUUGAGUGGCAUUUCCACUAUGUUCCUUAGAACCUAAUAUUUUGGCAUGGCUG